rnacentral:lncRNA from 1 species
UCAACUUGACGCUGGCGGAGAUUGAACACUCCCGGGUGGAGGACGCAAUGAGCACCGAGCUCAGGUUGGCGCGCAAAGAGGCCACUGAUCUCCGCCACAAAGUGCAACAGCUUGCUCAAGAAAAGAUCGAACUAGAGAGCAAGAUUGUGCCUUACCGCGUCAAGGUGGCUGACCUAGAGGCUCUCAUGAAGGCCGACGCCGUCAAGGUGCAAAAACUAGAGAAAAGGUCAGCCGACCGAGAGACCCUCCUGGGGCAGGUGGAAAAGGCGAGGGACGACGCCAUAGCUGAUCUUGCCAAA